AGCAGUUCUCAGGUGAUGCACACCGGAAUUGGGCUCCCUCCUCUUUGGUUCCAGGUGCAUCACCUGAAAACUGCA
rfam:Myotis davidii contig226390, whole genome shotgun sequence.